rnacentral:rRNA from 1 species
AACGAACGCUGGCGGCAGGCCUAACACAUGCAAGUCGAGCGAGGACUUCGGAUCUAGCGGCGGACGGGUGAGUAACGCGUGGGAAUGUGCCCUUCUCUACGGAAUAGCCCUGGGAAACUGGGAGUAAUACCGUAUACGCCCUAUUGGGGAAAGAUUUAUCGGAGAAGGAUCAGCCCGCGUUGGAUUAGGUAGUUGGUGGGGUAAUGGCCUACCAAGCCGACGAUCCAUAGCUGGUUUGAGAGGAUGAUCAGCCACACUGGGACUGAGACACGGCCCAGACUCCUACGGGAGGCAGCAGUGGGGAAUCUUAGACAAUGGGGGCAACCCUGAUCUAGCCAUGCCGCGUGAGUGAUGAAGGCCUUAGGGUUGUAAAGCUCUUUCAGCUGGGAAGAUAAUGACGGUACCAGCAGAAGAAGCCCCGGCUAACUCCGUG